AGUAAUUUUAUGGGACAAUGAUAAAAGAGGUCAUUUUAAAGUACUUUAUGAUAAUCCAGACACCACAAAUGUCCCUCUGAUAAUUAAGGUCACCUAUUAACAACCUACCACUAAAGUUAAACUUAAUUACAAAAACUGCCACUGCUGGCUCUCGCUCCCUCCCUUCCGUUAAUAUGUUAUCCGUUCAGAUUCAACCCUUUACCAAAAUCUCUCUCUCUCCACAAACCCUUACCAUCCCAACCUCCUUGACCGCGACUCCUUAAGACCUUCCUCGACUUCUCCGACUCGCCGCCCUUCACCAUCGAUCUCUCCUUCGAGUGGAUCCUCGACUCCGUGACUCCGACACCGAUCAAAUCAAGCUCAUUGAUCGCACCCUGCAGUUGGGAUCGGUGCUCCUCGAGGCCGGUAAGAGCUCGGCGAGACGACAAGCCUCCAAGCACAACUCCAUCUCCUGGGCUCUCCCUCUCGACCUCACCAUCAAGGGAUGUGAUGGGUCAGUUUUGCUUGAUGGAUCAGCGAGUGGUCCAAGUGAGCAGGAGGCACCUCCAAACCUGAGUUUGAGGGCCACGGCCUUCGAAAUCAUCAAUGACCUCCGUGAGCUAGCUCAUAGCAAAUGUGGGAGGGUUUGUUUCUUGUGCUGAUAUAGCUGCUCUUGCUGCUAGGGAUUCUGUUUUCCUGUUUUUGUCAAGUGGUUUUGUUGUGAUGCUUUUUCAUUAUGAUGGUAACGUUGAUGAGUGGAAGCAAUUUCAAUGGAAUGAUCUUGUCAUUUAUGUGUCUGUAGUCAAUCAAACAAAAUGGUGGUUCGCAAAGCGUUUCUUACAUCCUGAUAUAGUUGAUCAAUAUAGUCGCAUUCUUCUACGGGAUGAGGACCUUGGAGUUGACAAUUUCAAUCCUCAACGGUAUGUGUCCAUUGUUCGAAAGGAAGGGCUUGAAAUAUCACAACCGGCACUUGAUUUUUCCAAGACAGAGGUGAACUACAUGGAGAAACUUUCGAAAGAGGAGGGGAUUCAGAAGAAACUCAGCAAGGAUAUUUUGCAAUAUAAAGCUCAUAUAAUCAAGAUAUUUGCGGAACAUAGGCACAAUUGGAUCUCUGCAGAUUUAGAGUUUUAGAAAUUUGCCUAGGGCUUAGGAUGCAAGUCACUGGUGAAUUGUAAACUCCAGUUUAUUAAAUAAAUUAGCUUUUUGUAUCUUUUUAUGAUGUCACUGUUAUGUUUUUUCCUUAAUAAAACAUUAUUUUUAUA